GUAGCGUCAGGUUUUUGUUGGCCAGAUUUCGGCAAUGGGAGGAGCCAAACAAGGACGUGUCACGAGGGACAACUUUAUUGUCACAUUGGAGGGUCUAUAGAUCUCUAGCUGUGCUGUAAUUUUGUAUAAUUUACUAUUUUAAUUUUCGCCAAAUCUGAGAAUUAGAUUUUUGUUAUUAUACAUUUUAUUCCAAAUUGUGUGGAUUUAGACAUGGAUAUUUUGUACUCACAUUUUAUUGGAUAAUAAUUUGGUUCAACCAAGGAGUUGAUGAUGCCGUGUCCAGCAGUUGUCAAGUUGACCUAUUUUGACCGCUCCACCUAAAGACUCCAGGCCUAGCAUCUCAAUGGAAGUCGACAAUCCCGGUGCUGACCCAGACGUAUGCUCCACCGAACCCCCAGCUCAGAAUAAUUUCAGAUACACGCCCCUGACAUCCACCGGGGUGUACGAGCAUAGGGAGAAUGACCAAGAGGAAGGCCGCGUGGAGUACGAGGUCCACGACUCUUACAUCCGCACGGGGCUGGUCGGCCAUAAGAGGGAACCCUGCCCCAAGUUUCAAAUUAUUAUCUGCGGUCUGCUGAUCUUCAGUGCGGUCCUGGUGGGCUUCACCUUCAUCUUCGUCUUCGUCAUCCUUCCAUCGCUCAAAUUUAAAAAACACUGAUGAAGGUAAAAAUGUAGUAUGUUGACAUGUUGGGUCAUUUUCAACGGAAAAUUAUUGUUAUUUGUUUUCACCCAAUGCCCAUUGGAUUAAGUUACUUGCAAAAAAGUUUUAUUGGGGAUGCAAUAAAAAGUAGAACUCCAGCCCCCCUUCCUUCAAAUGAACAGUUUGUUUUUACUUCAUGGAGGGCGGAACAUGGACGCUGAUCUCAAAAACGGCUCUAACUGUUUUUCUAGAAAUUUAACAGUUGAUGUAUAUCGCUGAGAAUGACUUGCUCGUUGGUCACACUGUAAAAUCUCUAUUUUAACCGUUAUCAUUUUUCAAAUAAAAAUGAAAGAAAAUUAAAAUUUGGCUAGAGAUCUAGACAUAGAUCUAGAUCCAACAUCGGUUUUGAAAGGACUACUGCGUUCUUGAAAAGACUAACGCUUUCGGGAAUUUCCGAAUGCAAGGCUUUUCUGACUGAAGAGUUUAAUAGCUUGAUGUUCAGGAAAAUUUUGCGCAUUUUCUUCAAAGUCUAGAUCUAAAUGCGUAUCUUUGGAACAAUUUUAAAGUAUUCUUGAUUUAGAUUCUCUAUAUUCGCUUAACCCGAAUUCGUUUCUUAUGUACGACUAUCGUUUAUAUUUUCAAAGGAUAGUGGAAUAAUUAGAAUUUAUAUAAAAUAUUUAAGUAAUUUUUUUUUAAUUUAACAAAUUUUUUUUAAAAAGUAAACUUGGAACAAUGAUUUGGCCGCCCCCUAAAGUCGGCCGCCUGCGUGCAAUGCACACAUUGCACAAUAGGUAGCGGCGCCCUGCCAGCUAGUAUCGAGUGCAAAUAAGUAUGAGAGGAUUGUGGUGGUUAAGGAAAGGCGAGGACAAUACACAAAUAUAUUAUCUAUUUCUGUAUGUAUGUAUCUACAUCAAGUCAUAAAUAGUCCACACGUCGCCCUUCCUAUUUCUCAUCUUAUCUUAUAUAAUACAGACGUUACUUCAAAAAAGAAGAUGAUUACGCCCUACGCGUCAUGCAUUUAGUCAUGCAUAUUAACCAAUGACUUAAAUUCUGCCAAGUCACUGGUUUUCCCGGCUAGCUCAGGCAACCCAUUCCAUGCUCUAAUAGCACUAGGGAAGAAGGAGCAUUUGUACAAAUUUGUCCUAGCAUAUGGGACGAGGAAUGUGCCUUUAUCUUUGUGUCUUUCAGAGUAUUUUAUUAAAUUUUGUUUUUGUAUUUCUUUGUAUUAACCCGCCCCUCCCAUGUGGUAAUGAGUUGUCAAUGCCAAAUCUUGGUCGUCUUCAAUAGAGUUGAUUCAUUCAUUUAUUCAAUGUAGAUCCUGUUCAUGAAAGUUCAUUUUGUUGUCCUUACUUUUUUUAUCUAUCAUUAAAAUUCUUUUCCUCUGAAAAAAAAAGGAAACUAUUAUUCUUUAACCACCAGUUAUUUUUGAAUCAAAGAAAACCAAGCCUAAGCCUACCAAAGAUAUAGUUUCAUUGGUUAUCAUUGUAUCCUGUACACCAAUCUGGUGCUAUAUUGUUCAGCCUAUUGUCAGUAGACGAAGGUGUGCUCCUACUUUGAGGAGUAGGGAGUUAUAGUUUUGAAUUUUUAAAGUUUGUAUUUUACCUUGUAACCACUUGUAAGCCCAUCGAAUCUAUGCAAUGAGCAAAAUUAGUAGACUUGGUUUAUUUUAAUCACAGUUUGAAACAGUUGGUGUUCUAAGUUAAUUGUAGUUUUUCUUUCUCUCGGGCCUGACAGGGCAGCUGUGAUAUUUCUUAGAGUUAUCUCUCCUGAACAAUAUACACAAAUGCAUUGUGGACAAGAACAAGAAGAUAAAAUAUAGGAAGAUGAAGUCACAAUAGACGCGCUAUAAAAAUCAUCAACACAUGUGUAUGUGUAUCAUAUUGAUCUGUAAUAUAUAAGAAAUAACUUCUUUUGCCCAUGUCAAAUGGCAGUUUGAUUCUUAUAUCACUCAGCUUGACUUGAUAUAUUAUCAGUAAACUGCGUGUGACAGUAUUUCAUUAAUCACAAAGCCUAAAUGACAUAUUGUGAUUAAUACAAAGAAAUAAACCCCUGCCUUUAGAGAUCUAUGUUUUAAAAUGCUUUCACCUGUUCGGUUUAACUGUGUUGUGGUCUUUAUUUAUGUGCCCUUGUUUUUAAUGAUCAUCUAAUGACCCCCAUUUCUCCUGAUCUACAGAGAGGUGGCCUAGUCCUUGGUGAAAAUCUACAUAUAAGUGCCCUAGUUCUUGGUGAAAAUCUACAUAUAGGUGCCCUAGUUCUUGAUGAUCAGCUACAUAUAAUGAGGCGCGGUGGCUGUGCGGUAAAGCUCUUGACUUCUGAGCCGGGGGUCCCUGGUUUGAAUCCUAGUGAAGACUGGGGUUUUUAAUUUCAGGAUGUUUGAACCCCAGCUCUAACGAGUAUCUGACAUUAGUUAGGGAAAAGUAAAGGCGGUUAGUAGUUGUGCUGGCCACAUGACACCCUCGUUAACCAUAGGCCACAGAAACAGAUGACCUUUACAUCAUCUGCCCUAUAGAUCACAAGCUCUGAAAAGGGAACUUAUCUACAUAUAGGGCCCUAGUUAUUGGUAAUCAUAUAAGUUUAGCAUCUAAGUGCCCAGCUUUUUUUCAUUUAGAGUAACCCUAAUUCUACAUUGCAGUGGCCCAGCAUCUAGUAAUCCACAUAGCUUUUAGCGAUCUUAUUCAACACAAGAUUGCUUGCCGUUUGAUGCAUGUUUUAGGACAACUUCCUACAUGUGUGUAUAACCCUGUUUUUCUACUAGUAGUAGCCUAUCCUUGGAUAACAACAUUUGAACACUGUGAUAGAAACUUCUUUAAAUAAAUUACGAUCAAAAUAUAAAAGGAAAUGCCAUCACGAGUCAGUAUAUGCGUUAACAUGUUAUUUAGGGAUGGAAAUAUAAAAAAAAAACAAUGUGGAACAGGGAGAGAAUGUUGUUUUCACUUGUGAAUUAGUUCGUGGAUUUCCAGAAGAGGGCGCUGUUGUCUUUCGUGGGAUUCCUUAUGCCCCUCCUCCUGUUGACAGCAGACGAUGGAGUGCUCCUGCUGCAAGGAGCAGGGGGGACAAACUCGUGCUGGCACAACGUUUUUAAGGCCUCACUUUAUGGCCCCAUCUGUGUCCAGCCCCAGUUCGAUGACGUCGACAAAAUAGUUGGCAGCGAGGACUGUCUUUACCUUGACGUCUGGGCGCCAUCUCUGGCCCCUAAAGAGCUCCUUCCGGAGAUGGUCUGGAUUCGGGAGACCUCGUGUACGGCUUCGGCAACAUGCAUGGCAUGUUCAUUACCUCAGCCACGUCAGUCUCUACCAACGCCGUGUAGGUCAGCUUUAACUACCGCCUCGACGCCUUUCUUGCGCUAGACCAGCUGGUGGAAGGCGUGUACAAGUCAUCAGGAAACUUCAUGGUCCAGCAGUUGGCGUUGCUUAGGGUCCAAGACAACAUUGGCAGUUUGGGAGGAAACAAAUACUUGGUGACGAUAUUUGAAUAUGGCUCAGGAGCAUCGUCUGUGGAGGCGCUGUUGUUGUCUUCUGAAAGUAUUGUGUUUUUCCAUAGAGCCCAGGUUCACCAGUCAGGUGGCUUUACUUAACAAGACUUUAGCCGAGGCAUGCCACCACAACCUUCCUAGAGGAGUCUGAAUGCCGUGAUACCAGCUGUCUUCGUAAACUCAGCCCCACCCAGUUCUCCACUUGGUCUCUUGAGCCACAGUCGAUGACAUUUUGCAUAUUUCACGAAAUGGGAUGUGGAGAAAUGAUCUGGCUAUAUUUGAAGGUGCAACCUACUUUGACCUGAGCAGCCUCCUGUCAGAGGAAACGAUGCUUAACUUGACCUGGGAGGAAUAUGACACAACUCUGUCUUACUGGGUGAACAGCUUCCAGAAACCAAGGCGCAGAAUCCACACAACAUCUCUGUGUCCUAUUACGGACCUGAGCACUUGCCUCCUCUACCGAGCGCUCAGCUCGCCAACCUGCUCAGCGAUGUCAAGUCUGUCUGCCCCGUGAAAGAUCUGGUUGACGCCUUCACAACUAUGGCCGGCAACUCUGCUUCGAUAUAUCUAGACAUGGCUGAGAUAUUCCCUGCCCACACUAUGGUGCUCUUGCACAUUCAUCGGCUGAGACGUCUCUGCCUUCUUCGGAAAUUUCCGCGACCAUGACUUUCUCGAGGAGUCAAGGUGACGUCAACUUUGGGAACGCGCUGAAACAAAGUAUCAUGAGCUUCGUCAGGACGGGGGCGGCCCAGUGCGCAAACCUUACGACAGGAAUCACCAACAUUUCAGUAGCACCCGCACUUGACAAUAGCUUCAUCAAAUGCGAAUUGUGGAGAAGAUUGGGAUACUUAGAAUACUCUUGGUCGAAAUGAAGAGUUUAACCCAGGGAAAAAGAAGGCAGAUUCACAAAUAUUGCUAAUGUAAUGUCUUCAAGCCACUAUGGUCCCCAAAAUCAAAACACAUGAUCGGACGAAUUGCGUGUGUAUUUUGUAGAUGGUUAAAGGGAAACUACUCAGCUAAUAAUAUUGUUAAUACUGAUUUUAUAAGUAAUACCGAUGUUGAAGGGGCAGAUGCCAAUUAACAUAUUGAAAUAAAUUCCAGAGGUAUAUAUCAGAAAAUUAUAAUAGGCCUACUUACUUUCGUUAUAUUCUCAAUGAAAUGAAUUGACUUACAUUUUGCCUUCAUUGUGACUGUGCAGAUUCUUACUAACAGAGGAGACAUGAGGCUUUUCCAACCUCCGUAAUCUACAUUGAAAAAAUAGCUUUCUUUCUAAUGCCUUUGAAAAGUUGAGACGGCUAAAAGUGUUUAAUGUUGACAUGUUUACAGUUCAUUAUAAUACCUAAGCUCAAAGGAUCACUAUAUUUAAUAUACAUAUAUAGUGGUAGUGAAAGGCCACCUGUAGAUUGGUCAUUGGAUAUAAAUGUGAUGACCGCAAGUUUAUGGGGACUUAAAUUUGUGUUCUUUUUUCGGUAUUUAUCUAUCACUAAAUGUGUCUGUUUAUAAAUAUGAAUGCUAUCUAAUUAUGAGAAUUGUUAGUGUCGGUUAUUACAUGUUAUACUGUAACUAAAUGUGUUAAUAUAUAUAAAUGACAACUCUGAUACAUUUCAAAACGUGUGUAAGUAUUGGGAUGUGGAUUUAAAAAAACAAACUGUCCUACACAGGCAGGGGCGUAGCUAGGAAGCUUCCAUCAUUUUGGGGCCCCGGAGGCUUGACCUCUUUGGGGGGGGGGCCUGCAUUUUUAAUAUUUAUUGUAAAAUACACUCAUUUGGAGGCCCCCCUCAAGUGGGGGCCCGGGGGGAUUUUCAAUUCCUCCCCCCUCUUCCCCCCACCCUAGCUAUGCCACUGUACAUAGGUUUGGGGUGUGCUAUUGUGUUGUAGUGGUGUGAAAUCAGUUUUAUUUCAUUAUCAAAUAUUUGUUUAAUGAUUUCAAAUGGGCAAACUUUAAAGUAUUCGCAAAUUAUGCAUAGCCAGCAUAAAAUAUACAUAGUGUAAAUAAUGUUUUCAAUAUGAUAAAUGACAAUUAAGUGUAAUUUUCUUUGAAAACAUGCAUAUAUGUAAAAUACUUGAACCUUAGGAUUUAUAUUAAAUCCGAGGAAAAUAAUUAACUGAAAAACAACAUUGCAGCCAAUAUUAAAAAAUCUAACAGUGUUCGAUAUCUAUCAUUAUCCAGUAUUCUAUCAUUAAUCAGUAUUCCAUCAAUGUUCCAUGUUCAGCCAUUGUCAGAUAUUCUUUUAUUGUUGAGUAUUCUGUCUUUGCCCUCUGUAUAUUGUCAUUCAGUUUAUAAGUAAAGUUUUAAUCAAGAGAUCUUGUGACCUUGGCAUUGGCUUAAUCAGUGUCUGCAUGUACACUGAGUUUUCUAGUUUUUCUUUGCUGGUGAGUUCCUGUCUAGUUUUUUUUUUUUUUUACCAUGGUAGCUCUAUGUCUUGAUCAUCACUCUCUUUAACUUAUAAUUAUCAAAUAAAUCAAAAAUAAAUUAUUACAAUAAUUAUAAAGUGUUUUUUUUUUGUUCAGAUAAAAACACAUCAUAAUUUCAUUAGCCUUUAUCAAAUAUUUUGAAGUGUGAAACUUGUAAUCAUAUUUUUGUUAAAUUAGGCAAGAUGGCAGAUAUAAGCUUAGUUGUUAUUCUUUUAAUUUCUUUAAAUUUUUAUUUCCUAAAAGUAUCAGAGCAAAAAAAUCUGGCACCAAUGACCUAACAAAAAGGAGUGCCUACUAUUGGGGGCGUUAUCUUUAUUACCACCACUCGUAAUGAUUCAAUUAAAGGCAAUUGAAGUUUUAUUUCCCAUUCACCAAGUAGCAUUGGUAUCUUUUAAAUUAAGGUUUUAUAGUUAUCUAUCGUUAUUUUUACCUAACUCGCAUCACAAAGUAUAAAGGGGACUAAUUCAACUUAUACAUCCAUCUGUCAAGUACAAUGUCUUUUCCUUGUUUUCGAAACCAAACAAAAUAAUUAAUUACCAAUAGCCAAUUAACUAGUGGAUUUUUAGCGGCCCCGGAAAGGGGAAAAGACGCUAUUAGUUUUGUGUGAAAUGUCUGUCCGUCUGUCCCGUUUAGAUCUCGUAAACUAGAAAAGAUAUUGAAAAUCCGACAUCACAAUGUUUUAGACCAUUCAAAGUUCUGAUGCAACGGCUACUUUUUUUUCUGAAAGCGAAAACUCUAAUUUUUUAAAUCAGUUAUGCAAGUAUUUUCUUAAAGAGAAAAAGCUAAUUAGUAUGCAUUAUAAGUUACAUCUAAUUUAAAACGAAUACUAAUCUUGUAAACGUCAUUUUCCUGAAUAUAUCUAGGUGGCAGAGUGGCAAAUUGUUUGGCUUCCGAACCGGGGGUCCCUGGUUCGAAUCCUGGUGAAGACUGGGAUUUUCAAUUUUAGAAUCUUUGGGUGCCUCUAAGUCCACUCAGCCCCAAUGGGUACCUGACAUUAGUUGGGGAAAAGCAAAGGUGGCUGGUCGUUGUGCUGGCUACAUGACACCCUCGUUAACCGUAGGCCACAAAAAACAGAUGAACCUUACAUCAUCUGCCCUAUAGACCACAAGGUCCAUAAGGGGAACUAGUUAGGCCAGGCUCACAUCUAACUUUACAUUCACUUUCACCUAUCCUUUGAUCUGCUGGACCGUUGGGGCACUACACAAGAUCUGUCAACCUUCUUUCUCCAUUCUUAUCUCUCAUUUGUCUUUGAUAUAAUUUCAUUCGGAUGCUCUUUCUGAAAAUAUUGAAGCCUGCCACUUCGGGGGCCGAUUUUGAGUUUGUGUUUCCACAAAAACUGUCUUUUGUAACCUUGUUUAGAUUGAUUCUUGUUUUGCCAGGUACAAGAAAUAAUUAUACCAAAUUUCAACUUGAUUCAAGAAUGGGUGUGGGAAAAAUAACAGACAUAAAAAAAAAAAAAAGGCUGAUUCGUUUUCUUGUGAUUUUAUAUAACAAAAAAUAUGUUUUUCAUAUACAUUAAAUGAUUUAUAUCCGACACACUUCUUUUGGAAAAAGUUCUUAGAGGUCAAACUUUGAAAAGAGAAGCAGACGACGGAAGUAUAAGAUCCCACCAAUUUCAUUUGCAUUAAUUAAAUGAUAAUAUUCACAUUUCAGAUGCGGACUUUGGGAGACCUCGCCAAGCCUGAGGGAGGGGAGAAUGCAAUAGUUAGAUUCUUUUGUCACCGUCAUCAUACAAAUAUAGGAGGUUCCCGGUAUAUGACACUUGCCCAGUGUCCCAACGACAGCUGGAUGCUCAUUACCAAUCGUGCAUCCUUAGUCGUCCUUAGUCGUUGUCACGGAUGAAUGUGUGUAUGUAUGUAUAAUCUAUUUUUAUAAUCUGCGCGAAUGACCGGAAGUGUGUUUUGUUGUCAGAGAGAGACCAGCGUGUGUGAUAUGCAGUAAAGCUGAUUAAAGUUUAUGUGCUUGA